CACGUAGUUAGCCGUGGCUUAUUCAAGGGGUACCGUCUUCUGCUCUUCCCCCUUAAAAGAAGUUUACAACCCGAAAGCCCUCUUCCUUCACGCGGCGUUGCUGGGUCAGACUUGCGUCCAUUGCCCAAUAUUCCCCACUGCUGCCUCCCGUAGGAGUCUGGGCCGUAUCUCAGUCCCAAUGUGGCCGGCCAACCUCUCAGUCCGGCUACUGAUCGUCGCCUUGGUGGGCCGUUACCUCACCAACUAGCUAAUCAGACGCGAGGCUAUCUUCCAGCGAUAAAUCUUUGACAUCAGUGCCAUGCGACACCAAUGCGUCAUGCGGUAUUAGCAGUCGUUUCCAACUGUUGUCCCCCUCUGGAAGGCAGGUUCCUCACGCGUUACUCACCAGUCCGCCACUAAGCAUUCCCAUCCGUUGUCCGAAAACUCCUUCAAGGGUGCUCCGUUCGACUUGCAUGUGUUAAGCACGCCGCCAGCGUCGUCCUGAGCCAGGAUCAACUCU
rnacentral:rRNA from 1 species